UACGAAGGGGGCUAGCGUUGUUCGGAAUUACUGGGCGUAAGGCGCACGUAGGCGGAUUGUUAAGUUAGGGGUGAAAUCCCGGGGCUCAGCCCCGGAACUGCCUUUAAUACUGGCAAUCUCGAGUCCGAGAGAGGUGAGUGGAAUUCCGAGUGUAGAGGUGAAAUUCGUAGAUAUUCGGAGGAACACCAGUGGCGAAGGCGGCUCACUGGCUCGGUACUGACGCUGAGGUGCGAAAGCGUGGGGAGCAAACA
rnacentral:rRNA from 1 species